GCCCGCAGCGGUGCGCGCGCGGCGCGCGGUGUUUCGGACGGCGCCGCGUGCGGCAGUGCGGGCGACGUUUCAGACGGUGCUGCGGGCG
rnacentral:tRNA from 1 species